rnacentral:rRNA from 1 species
CGAUAGUCUUUCGCCCCAUGCGCAGAUUUGACGAUCGAUUUGCACGUCAGAACCGCUGCGAGCCUCCACCAGAGUUUCCUCUGGCUUCACCCUAUCCACGCAUAGUUCACCAUCUUUCGGGUCCGAACAGUUAUGCUCUUACUCAAAUCCAUCCGAAGACAUCAGGAUCGGUCGAUGAUGCACCCGUAAGGGCUCUCACCUCCGUUCACUUUCAUUACGCUUGAGGGUUUAACACCCAAAAACUCGCAUAAAUGUUCGACUCCUUGGUCCGUGUUUCAAGACGGGUGGCUGAUGACCAUUAUGCCAGCAUCCUAGCCGAAGCGCGGUCCUCAGUCCCAGCGGCGGUAUUACACAGCAGGCUAUAACACUCCCGGGGGAGUCACGUUCCUGAAGUCUUUAUCCCGCCGCCGAAACUGAUGCUGGCCUCAACCAAGCGGAGUGCACCGGUGAGAACACCGGAUGAUCCGCAAGGCAAAGGUCUGGUCACAAGCCCUUCCCUUUCAACAAUUUCACGUACUAUUUAACCCUCUUUUCAAAGUGCUUUUCAUCUUUCGAUCACUCUACUUGUGCGCUAUCGGUCUCUGGCCGGUAUUUAGCUUUAGAAGAAAUUUACCUCCCAUUUAGAGCAGCAUUCCCAAACUACUCGACUCGUCGAAGGAGAUUUACAGAGGCUCGGCAUCCAACCGUACGGGGCUCUCACCCUCUAAGGCGUCCUGUUCCAAGGAACUCGGAAGGUACCUAACCAAAAUCAUCCUCUACAAAUUACAACUCGGACCCGAGGGCCAGAUUUCAAAUUUGAGCUGUUGCCGCUUCACUCGCCGUUACUAGGGCAUCCCUGUUGUCUU